rnacentral:rRNA from 1 species
AUGGAGUGCCCCAACAACCUCUGCUGCAGCAAGGAUGGGUACUGCGGCCUGGGCUUCGACUACUGCAGCGCUGCCGCCGGCUGCCAAAGCGGCGCCUGCUACAACAACAAGAUCUGGGGCGCACAGGCCGGUGGUGCAUUCAAAUAUGGUUACUGUGGCUUAGGACCGGAGUUCUGCGGGGCUGGCUGCCAAAACGGUGCUUGUAGCACGGACAAGCCGUGUGGCAACCAGGCUAAUGGUGCACGAUGCACCAACAACUAUUGUUGCAGCCAGUAUGGAUCUUGUGGGCUUGGCAAGGAUUAUUGUGGUACCAACUGCCAGAGCGGUGCAUGCUACAAUGAUUCAAUCCUGGCUAACAUACUCAAGUGUGUACCUUGA